rnacentral:ncRNA from 1 species
GUAGUCCCACACACUUAUUUACAGGAAUAGCAGGUUCAGACACUUGGUUCAUGGACUUGACCGAUCACUCAGUGGUUCGAAGAUACCAUCUGGAGGAUUAUGACUGAACGCCUCUAAGCAGAAUCCCACAUAGUGAAGGCAGCAAUAACCUGUCUCGCGUUAAAGCAAGAGCUUAUGCUCUAGUAUGUGGUCUUGUCGGUACGGAUAUCCCCUGCUGGUUGCCAAAGCCAGACCACUCUGGUUCAAUAUCGGAGUACAAAACCACAUGUAUACGGCAUGUAUACUAGUCGAAGUAUUGCAGUAGAACAGUGUUUGUACUGAGACACGCUACGAUUCACAUUCAGUACUGCUUUAUUU